rnacentral:rRNA from 1 species
GUCACUCGUGGAGUACCUGCCUCGCGGCUUUGGAUUUUGUUUGGAAACAGAUGCUGAUACCGAAUAAAACUCAGUGUCGCAUGCCAAUGAGUUAAAAGGCCCUUUGGCGGGUCCUAGAGAUGGAUCCCCGGCGUUUUCCUUUGUUGGUGGGGGAAAGGCCUACCAUGACAAUGAUGCCUAGCCGAGUUGAGAGAGUGAUCGGCCACCUUGGGACUGAACCAAGAUCCAAACUCUCAAAGGAGGCUGCAGUAGGGAAUCUUCCACAAUGGGCGAAAGCCUGAUGGAGCAACGCCGCGUGUGUGAUGAAGGCUUUCGGGUCGUAAAGCACUGUUGUAUGGGAAGAACAGCUAGAAUAGGGAAUGAUUUUAGUUUGACGGUACCAUACCAGAAAGGGACGGCUAAAUACGUGCCAGCAGCCGCGGUAAUACGUAUGUCCCGAGCGUUAUCCGGAUUUAUUGGGCGUAAAGCGAGCGCAGACGGUUGAUUAAGUCUGAUGUGAAAGCCCGGAGCUCAACUCCGGAAUGGCAUUGGAAACUGGUUAACUUGAGUGCAGUAGAGGUAAGUGGAACUCCAUGUGUAGCGGUGGAAUGCGUAGAUAUA